GGAGGAGUGGCAGAGUGGUUGAAUGCACCGGUCUUGAAAACCGACGUACGUGUGAGCGUACCGGGGGUUCGAAUCCCUCCUCCUCCGCCA
rnacentral:tRNA from 1 species